rnacentral:misc_RNA from 1 species
GUCAUCAUCGAAUCUUUGAACGCAAAUUGCACUCCCUGGUAUUCCGGGGAGUAUGCCUGUUUGAGGGUCGUUAGAAUAAAAAAUCGAUGCGUCGCUCUUUUUUUUUAAGGGUGAUCGCGUCGGAAUUGAGCCGUCUUUCAAAUGUUAAUCCAUGUAAAAGUGGCUUGAAUUUCAUCCAUCCGGUCCGAUGAAAGCGUAUUUAAGAUAAAUUUUGAUUGAGAACGCGCG